GACGAACCGUGCGAACGUUGUUCGGAAUCACUGGGCGUAAAGGGCGCGUAGGCGGGAUGGCAAGUCGGUCGUGAAAUCCUUCGGCUCAACCGAAGAACGUCGGCCGAUACUGCCGUUCUUGAGGGAUGCAGAGGAGAUUGGAAUUCCCGGUGUAGCGGUGAAAUGCGUAGAUAUUGGGAAGAACACCUGAGGCGAAGGCGGGUUGCUGGGCCGACACUGACGCUGAGGCGCGAAAGCCAGGGGAGCGAACGGG
rnacentral:rRNA from 1 species